ACGGGUGAGUAACGCGUGGGUAACCUGCCUCAUAGAGGGGGACAACAGUUGGAAACGACUGCUAAUACCGCAUAGUAAGAAAGAUUCGCAUGUUUCUUUCUUGAAAGAUUUAUCGCUAUGAGAUGGACCCGCGUCUGAUUAGCUAGUUGGUAAGGUAACGGCUUACCAAGGCGACGAUCAGUAGCCGGCUUGAGAGAGUGAACGGCCACAUUGGGACUGAGACACGGCCCAGACUCC
rnacentral:rRNA from 1 species